GAUGAACGCUGGCGGCGUGCCUAAUACAUGCAAGUCGAGCGAAUGGAUUAAGAGCUUGCUCUUAUGAAGUUAGCGGCGGACGGGUGAGUAACACGUGGGUAACCUGCCCAUAAGACUGGGAUAACUCCGGGAAACCGGGGCUAAUACCGGAUAACAUUUUGAACCGCAUGGUUCGAAAUUGAAAGGCGGCUUCGGCUGUCACUUAUGGAUGGACCCGCGUCGCAUUAGCUAGUUGGUGAGGUAACGGCUCACCAAGGCAACGAUGCGUAGCCGACCUGAGAGGGUGAUCGGCCACACUGGGACUGAGACACGGCCCAGACUCCUACGGGAGGCAGCAGUAGGGAAUCUUCCGCAAUGGACGAAAGUCUGACGGGGCAACGCCGCGUGAGUGAUGGAGGCUUUCGGGUCGUAAAACUCUGUUGUUAGGGAAGAACAAGUGCUAGUUGAAUAAGCUGGCACCUUGACGGUACCUAACCAGAAAGCCACGGCUAACUACGUGCCAGCCGCCGCGGUAA
rnacentral:rRNA from 1 species